UCAGAACUAUGAGAUGCCCAUUCUUCCAACACCAUCAGGAUUCACUAGGAAGAAUGCCUUAAAAUUAAGAAUUUAAGAAAAUAUAUCAAGUAGGUAAAGACAGAGGAGCUGCAGAAUGUCUUUGGAUCUAUAGCACUAUCUGACUGGAGGCACUCAGGAUGAAGAUAACCUGGAGGGUGGACCAUCCAUGAGGUGGAAGGACCUGGUUAAGACUUUUUCCUCACAAGGAGAGGCUGAAAUAGGAGCUGCCAAGGGUGCCAUCCUCCAGGGGUUCAGUGACAAGAGCCACCUGGCGUCGUUCCUCCCCUUCACCUGUGGAACCUGCUUGUUCACAUGCUACUUUCUCUGGCUCAGACAACGGAGGGAGUGAGAAGAGGAUGGAGGUGCCAUGGUCAGUUUGCUUACUGGCUCUGUGCCAGGCAGGCAGGCAGGCAAGUAAGUGGUGACAGUGAAGAGGAAGAGGAGAAGCUGGUGACAAUGGUGACAAGAAGUUCGCUCACUAUGGGAAGGGGCCCACUGAGGGUGUCUUGCCCAAGGAUCUUCAAAAGCCUGGAAGCAGCACUGGUGAUAGCUAAGGCUGGCUAGAGGCCAUCUGGCAGUGUUUCCUGCAAAAGCUGGUCCCUUCUUCUCUGGCUCAUUCCAGCUGGUCCAUCUGACUGAUUUUAUCUAAAAAGGUGGAUAUUUUUCCUGUUCAGAUUUUUUAAAUUCUCCUUCUUUGACUUUAAUAUCACUGGUUUGAAUAUAAUCCUAGUAUAUAGUUAUGAAUGUGAGAUAUUCCUAUGCUUAUAACUAUUUACAUCUUGUUACAAUCUGAAGCUGUUAGUUAAUUAGAAAUGUUGCAACAUUUUAUUGUGUCAUCACAAUAAAGCUACUUGGAACAUAAUUUCAUCAUGGAAAAGUGGCAUACAAAUUGACUAAUGGCAAUGAAGAAAAGGAGAACAAGAAACUUGCAGAAAGGAGACAAAACAACAGACCAAAUAAACUCAUCUUUUGGGUUUGUUUCUUUAAAGUA